rnacentral:rRNA from 2 species
CAGCAGCCGCGGUAACACCAGCCCCUCAAGUGGUCAGGAUGAUUAUUGGGCCUAAAGCAUCCGUAGCCGGCUCUGUAAGUUUUCGGUUAAAUCUGUAUGCUCAACAUACAGGCUGCCGGGAAUACUGCAGAGCUAGGGAGUGGGAGAGGUAGACGGUACUCGGUAGGAAGGGGUAAAAUCCUUUGAUCUAUUGAUGACCACCUGUGGCGAAGGCGGUCUACCAGAACACGUCCGACGGUGAGGGAUGAAAGCUGGGGGAGCAAACCGGAUUAGAUACCCGGGUAGUCCCAGCUGUAAACUAUGCAAACUCGGUGAUGCAUUGGCUUGAUGCCAAUGCAGUGCCGCAGGGAAGCCGUUAAGUUUGCCGCCUGGGAAGUACGUACGCAAGUAUGAAACUUAAAGGAAUUGGCGGGGGAGCAC